rnacentral:rRNA from 1 species
GAUGAACGCUGGCGGCGUGCCUAAUACAUGCAAGUCGAGCGAACGGACGAGAAGCUUGCUUCUCUGAUGUUAGCGGCGGACGGGUGAGUAACACGUGGAUAACCUACCUAUAAGACUGGGAUAACUUCGGGAAACCGGAGCUAAUACCGGAUGAUAUUUUGAACCGCAUGGUUCAAAAGUGAAAGACGGUCUUGCUGUCACUUAUAGAUGGAUCCGCGCUGCAUUAGCUAGUUGGUAAGGUAACGGCUUACCAAGGCAACGAUGCAUAGCCGACCUGAGAGGGUGAUCGGCCACACUGGAACUGAGACACGGUCCAGACUCCUACGGGAGGCAGCAGUAGGGAAUCUUCCGCAAUGGGCGAAAGCCUGACGGAGCAACGCCGCGUGAGUGAUGAAGGUCUUCGGAUCGUAAAACCCUGUUAUUAGGGAAGAACAGAUGUGUAAGUAACUGUGCACAUCGUGACGGUACCUAAUCAGAAAGCCACGGCUAACUACGUG